UACGGAGGGUGCAAGCGUUAUCCGGAUUCACUGGGUUUAAAGGGUGCGUAGGAGGGCAGGUAAGUCAGUGGUGAAUUCUCCAAGCUUAACUUGGAAACUGCCGUUGAUACUAUCUGUCUUGAAUAUUGUGGAGGUGAGCGGAAUAUGUCAUGUAGCGGUGAAAUGCUUAGAUAUGACAUAGAACACCAAUUGCGAAGGCAGCUCACUACUCAAUCAUUGACUCUGAGGCACGAAAGCGUGGGGAUCAAACAGG
rnacentral:rRNA from 1 species